GAUGAACGCUGACAGAAUGCUUAACACAUGCAAGUCAACUUGAAUUUGGGUUUUUAACUUAGGUUUGGGUGGCGGACGGGUGAGUAACGCGUAAAGAACUUGCCUCACAGCUAGGGACAACAUUUGGAAACGAAUGCUAAUACCUAAUAUUAUGAUAAUAGGGCAUCCUAUAAUUAUGAAAGCUAUAAGCGCUGUGAGAGAGCUUUGCGUCCCAUUAGCUAGUUGGAGAGGUAACAGCUCACCAAGGCGAUGAUGGGUAGCCGGCCUGAGAGGGUGAUCGGCCACAAGGGGACUGAGACACGGCCCUUACUCCUACGGGAGGCAGCAUUGGGGAAUAUUGGACAAUGGACCAAGAGUCUGAUCCAGCAAUUCUGUGUGCACGAUGAAGUUUUUCGGAUUGUAUAGUGCUUUCAGUUGGGAAGAAAGAAAUGACUGUACCAACAGAAGAAGUGACGGCUAAAUACGUGCCAUCAGCCUCGGUAAUACUUUGUGCACUAGCGUUAUCGUGAGUUUUUGGGGGUGAAGCGCGUCUUUGUGGUUAUGUAAGUCUGAUGUGAAAUGGGGGGUUCGGCUCUGUGUUGUGUUUGUUGAUUUUUUUUGUUUUUGUCUUUGUGUUUGUUUUGUGUCUAUGGUGUGGUGUGAAUUCUGUUACUGUUGGAUGCGAAGGGUGAUGGGUUUGGGUGUUUGACUGAGUUGGUGUGUGAUGUGUGUGCUGGUGAUGGGAUAUG
rnacentral:rRNA from 1 species